UGGCCAAUGCCAGGUGCCCCAGAGGGAGUGAACCUAACAGACUAUAAGUUCCACAUGAGACAAGUUCAGAGGGUCAGUACUACUUAAGACUCAUCAGUUUCACCCCGAAGACCAGGCAUAAAAGAAUGCAAUUCUGAAUAAACACAGAAUGUUGAACAAUAA